AACUCUCAGCAACGGAUAUCUCAGCUCUCGCAUCAAUGAAGAGCAUAGCAAAAUGCGAUACUUGGUGUGAAUUGUAGAAUCCCAUAAACCAUCAAGUUUUUGAAGCAAAUUGCCCCCGAAGCCAUUAGGCCGAGGGCACGUCUUCCUGGGCAUCA